AACAGUGUUGUUUCAGACUACAUUUUUAGUGGUGGUUGAUGAGAUUGUAACAGUGUUGGUUACAGUGUUGGCUAAGAUGGUAGUGGUUAUGAUGCUGGUAACAGUGUUGGUUAACACUUUAUUGGCUGUUGUGGUGAUGACAGAAUUGGUCGUGUGGUUCAGUGUUAGCAGAGGUUGGUGCAGCUACAUUGCUGGUGACACUGUCAAAUCAGUAUUGGGGCUGGUGGUGGUUGAGGCUGAGAAUGCAGUGGUGCCAAGGACAGUGUUGGGGGUGGUUAUUGCGGGUGUGUUCAUGGUGACGGUGUUAGUUCAGACUGUACGGGUAGUGGUGGUAACAAUUAAGGUGGUAGGGUGAGUGAUAAUGUUGACUGAGUUUCGCUCCAAUUCCCUCGCACCCAUCCUGCUCUCUGAUUCCCCCCUCCCCCCCCCCGGAUCUCUCCCUAGCUCCCGUUUGAGAAGGACUGCGGCAGUGACAAAGUCUGCACUGAUGAACUACAAAUUUCCUUCAAUUUCUCAGGCUUGAGUACCCUGGUGGUGGGGGUCACCCCCGAACUCACCACCACCAUCUCCAUCCAGAACCGUGGG